UACGGAGGGGGCUAGCGUUGUUCGGAAUUACUGGGCGUAAAGCGCACGUAGGCGGCCUUGUAAGUCAGGGGUGAAAUCCCGGAGCUCAACUCCGGAACUGCCUUUGAUACUGGCCAUCUAGAGAUCGGAAGAGGUGAGUGGAAUUCCCAGUGUAGAGGUGAAAUUCGUAGAUAUUGGGAGGAACACCGGUGGCGAAGGCGGUUCUCUGGGCCUUACCUGACGCUGAGGAGCGAAAGCGUGGGGAGCGAACAGG
rnacentral:rRNA from 1 species